CAAAAACCCGGCUUGGUCAAGAUUCAAACAAACAUCCAGGCCAGCAGUUUCAAAUGAUCUCUUUUACAAGUGAUCAGUCAGAAAUAUCUCUGUUGAAUUUGGUGGCUCUGACAUCAAAGGUUGUUCGUUGGUACCUCCACCGUAGUGUCAGUGCCAGUGUGCAGCAGAAGGGGAUCUCAUCUCUGAACAAUGCUGGAUUAGGAGGUGGGAGUCAGCACAUUUCUACAGCAGAUACCAUCCAACCUUGACCUCCACCAUCCAGAUCUACAGUGAAGGAGAAGCUGAGCCUGCACACCCACACCAAGAUGCUUUUGACAUUUGGAGAUCUGCAGGAGCGG